ACAACUUGCACCAGUUGUUAUUAGAACUCUCUAUGGCAGUCUGAACGGCUUCUUUUCAGUGUCCCAAUUUCAUAAAUCUCAUAAACAAUCACCGUAAACAAUCCAUAACCCUUUCAAGCAUUUCAUCGAAUAUCAUAUUCGCAUCUGCAUACGCAAAAAUUAUCCUAUUAUAUAUUAUAAUUGACAAAAUCAUUUAAUUAACAACUACCUUUUAUAAAGUAAGUUGGAAUUUUCAGCUUUAAUUAAACCCCAUUUUAUUUAUAGUCAACGCAAAGCCUCAUGCCCUAGUGGCCCAGCCCCUGUGAUCCCGAUCUCAACCAUGGCAGCAGUAGCACCCACAGUUUCUCAGCUGUCGUGCUUCUCUUCAAUCAACCGCAACCUGCAGCUCUAUCGUCAAUCAUCUCCUCUUUCUACUAGAUCCAAGUUAUGGAUUGCUAUGAGCCUUGAAGGAGCACGAGGUACCGAAAAUUCUAGUUCAGAGAUCAAAACUAGGCUUAGUUAUACAGCUGAUGAAUCGAAACCAUACGUGGAAGGGCCAGCAGAACCUCAUGGUUUAGAAGAAAAAGGAAUUACAGAUCCAGGAAAGGCAUAUGGCGCAGCAAAAAUCCACGACUUCUGUUUUGGGAUCCCUUAUGGUGGUCUUGUUCUAAGU
rnacentral:misc_RNA from 1 species